rnacentral:rRNA from 1 species
CCAGACUCCUACGGGAGGCAGCAGUAGGGAAUAUUGCUCAAUGGGGAAACCCUGAAGCAGCAACGCCGCGUGGGUGAAGGAGCACCUCUGUGCGUAAAGCCCUAUCGGCAGGGAAGAAACAGACGGUACCUGACUAAGAAGCCCCGGCUAACUACGUGCCAGCAGCCGCGGUAAUACGUAGGGGGCAAGCGUUAUCCGGAUUCACUGGGUGUAAAGGGAGCGUAGACGGCGACGCAAGUCUGGAGUGAAAGCCCGGGGCCCAACCCCGGGACUGCUCUGGAAACUGCGGCGCUGGAGUACGGGAGGGGCAGGCGGAAUUCCUGGUGUAGCGGUGAAAUGCGUAGAUAUCAGGAGGAACACCGGCGGCGAAGGCGGCCUGCUGGACCGUGACUGACGUUGAGGCUCGAGAGCGUGGGGAGCAAACAGGAUUAGAUACCCCAGUAU